GGGAGGCAGCAGUGGGGAAUAUUGGACAAUGGGCGAAAGCCUGAUCCAGCAAUGCCGCGUGAGUGAUGAAGGCCUUAGGGUUGUAAAG
rnacentral:rRNA from 1 species